rnacentral:rRNA from 1 species
UAGUCCACGCCGUAAACGAUGUGUGCUAGAUGUCGGGUCCAUAGGAUUCGGUGUCGCAGCUAACGCACUAAGCACACCGCCUGGGGAGUACGGUCGCAAGAUUAAAACUCAAAGGAAUUGACGGGGACCCGCACAAGCGGUGGAGCAUGUUCUUUAAUUCGAUGAUACGCGAGGAACCUUACCAAGGCUUAAAUGCAAUACGAAUACUAUGGAAACAUAGUAGUCUAUCAGACGGAUUGCAAGGUGCUGCAUGGUUGUCGUCAGCUCGUGCCGUGAGGUGUCAGGUUAAGUCCUAUAACGAGCGCAACCCCUGUUGUUAGUUGCCAGCAAGAAAGAUGGGGACUCUAACAAAACUGCCGGUGCAAACCGUGAGGAAGGUGGGGAUGACGUCAAAUCAUCACGGGCCCUUACGUCUUGGGGCUACACACGUGCUACAAUGGCAGGUACAAUGGGAAGCCACCGGGU